CGGAGCCCUGAGCUCCUAGAGCCAACAGCUGCCGGGAGAGGCCCCAACUCCUGGGCAGGGGGUGGGGACCAGCCCCAUCCUAGGGGGAAGAUGAGGUCCCGGCCCGGCCACAGCCAGUGCCCCAAGCUUGGGCUGGAUGGUGGGGUGACCUCUUGUCCCUGGCAGUGAGCAGGACACUUGGUGCUGGGGUGAGGGGACAGAGCCAUGGCCUGGAUUUCAGCCCCGUGGGGUCCAUCUCACAGUGGGGGCAUCCCCUUAUCUCCAGCCAGAGGGAUGCCCCCUGUGAGGCCAUUUCUGGACCCCGAGCCAUAGCAAGAGGAGGACCAGCAGCUCUGACAGGAGCGGCCUCAUUCCAUCAUGGUUUCGGGCACACGCUCAGAGCUGAGGAUCCCAU
rnacentral:lncRNA from 1 species